rnacentral:rRNA from 1 species
GACAAAGGUGCCAAGCGUUAGGCGGAAUCACUGGGCUUAAAGCGUGUGUAGGCGGAUCGUUAAGUAUCUUGUGAAAUCCCACGGCUUAACCGUGGAACUGCUCGGUAUACUGGCGGUCUUGAGCAACCUAGGGGCGAGCGGAACAAAUGGUGGAGCGGUGAAAUGCGUAGAUAUCAUUUGGAACGCCAAUGGUGAAAACAGCUCGCUGGGGGUUUGCUGACGCUGAGACACGAAAGCCAGGGGAGCAAACGGG